rnacentral:rRNA from 1 species
GACGAACGCUGGCGGCGUGGAUUAGGCAUGCAAGUCGGACGGUAGGGCUUUAUCGUAAGAUAGAGUUUGAGAGUGGCGAACGGGUGAGUAACACGUAGGAAUCUACCCUUAAGACGGGGACAACCCAGGGAAACUUGGGCUAAUACCGGAUGAGAGUGCGAGAGAUUGCAUUUAAAAGGAUGGCGAAAGUUGUCGCUUAGGGAUGAGCCUGCGGUCUAUUAGUUAGUUGGUGAGGUAAGAGCUCACCAAGGCGAUGAUCUUUAGCUGGUUUGAGAGGAUGAUCAGCCACACUGGAACUGAGAUACGGUCCAGACUCCUACGGGAGGCAGCAGUAGGGAAUAUUCCACAAUGGGCGAAAGCCUGAUGGAGCAACGCCGCGUGCAGGAUGAAGGCCUUCGGGUCGUAAACUGCUUUUAUAUGUGAAGAAUAUGACGGUAGCAUAUGAAUAAGCCUCGGCUAACUCCGUGCCAGCAGCCGCGGUAAGAUACG